rnacentral:rRNA from 1 species
CCUACGGGUGGCAGCAGUGGGGAAUAUUGCACAAUGGGCGCAAGCCUGAUGCAGCCAUGCCGCGUGUGUGAAGAAGGCCUUCGGGUUGUAAAGCACUUUCAGCGGGGAGGAAGGCGGUGAGGUUAAUAACCUCAUCGAUCGACGUUACCCGCAGAAGAAGCACCGGCUAACUCCGUGCCAGCAGCCGCGGUAAUACGGAGGGUGCAAGCGUUAAUCGGAAUUACUGGGCGUAAAGCGCACGCAGGCGGUCUGUCAAGUCGGAUGUGAAAUCCCCGGGCUCAACCUGGGAACUGCAUUCGAAACUGGCAGGCUAGAGUCUUGUAGAGGGGGGUAGAAUUCCAGGUGUAGCGGUGAAAUGCGUAGAGAUCUGGAGGAAUACCGGUGGCGAAGGCGGCCCCCUGGACAAAGACUGACGCUCAGGUGCGAAAGCGUGGGGAGCAAACAGGAUUAGAUACCCCUGUAGUC